UGGCCACUGAUAAUCAAGUAUUUGUUUCAUUUCGAAGUCGAAGAAAGCAAAAUGGGAGUGAGAAGAACUGUGUGCAAAAAGUGACAUCUCCAAAGGAGAGACUUCCAUGGCAAGAUCUUAGGAACCGGGGAUUACUGCGCAUUUCAGUUCAACAGCAGACCCCUGACAGUGGAAAAUGCAAAAGAAAGGAUACCAUCUAUAAAACUUCAGGAUAUUGGCUUUCCUGGUUUUGGCCUCCUGCUGCAAUCCUCUAAGGCAGAGACUUCACCAACUUACAGCAGCUACCACUAAGGUACCUCAGUAGAAAGAAUGGUAUCAGAGACUUAAAAGCUGUCUUUUUAAAUUCUACAAAACUCAGGCAAAACACGCUUUUGUCUGUAGGAGAAACUUUUAAAAUUAUUAUGGCAUCAGGUACAAAUGUAAAUGCAUGGUUUUCAAAUGCUAAGUAUAAUAGAUAUCUCAACCUACCAUAUGAUUACACAAAAGAAGAAAAGGGGUAAGUGACCUCAUGCAAAUAAUACGCUUUUGUUAUGCCUGCUAUGAUAUUCUGACAAUAACUAACGAAGUGAGCACCUAAAUCCUGCAUAUCUCAUAUUACUAUUGUUAACGUCUAUUAAGUUAAAUAUCUUUUAAUGUAGAUUCUUUUAUCUGUGAUGCAAGAGCUGAGUGCUGAAGUAUGUGAUACAUGGUUGUUAGUUCAAACAACCUCAUCACUACAACACCCACAGUAAAUGGAUACGUACCUCUUGUAUAUCACACAUCAUGAACUACAUGUCCAGGGCUAUUUUAACUCUGGUAGUGAUCAGGCUGCUGCCAGAUGACAUUCAUUUAUGUUCUGCUUCCAAAUAUUUUAGGUAUGGUUCAAUGAUAGAUGUUAGGAGAACCCACUAGUUUGAUAUGUUGGAUCGUUAUUCAUAGUUUAGCUCUGUUGCCCUAAACAGCUAAACAGAACCUAAGCCUUGGCAUUUAUCUCUGUGUGCGGAAACAACCACCAUAGUACAUAAUCCUUUCCACAAUCAAAAUGGGAUUUCUUUUUCCUUUGUGUAUAUUUGGUAUGUCUUUUUCCUUCUCUCCUUUUUUUUUUUCUUUUAAAGUUUCAUUUUAUUUCAAAGUUACAUUCAUGUAAUUCAUUCAUUUCAUGAAAUAUAUGAUUUACCAGAUCAGUUCUCUAUUUAGAACAUUACCAGAAACAAAUACUGUCCCAUAUAAAGAGAUAUUAAAAGCAAUAUGCCUACCUUUCUCUAUAUACUCAAAUCACUUUCCAAGGACUGCAUAGCCAAUCCUGUUCCACAGCUGCUAACAGGAGUUAAAGUUUUUGGGCACAAGAUUAGUCCCAAAGUCCCAGUAUAAGCUCCACAGUAAGGAUCAAAGACACUGUACAGCACAAUUUCCUAUUUUUGCCAGAUUCAUAGUGGGAAGAGGCCUUACAACUGCUUUGUAAGCUUACUUCCACGGUGUGAGAAAGAGCCAGGAGCUUGUGAGUCAGAUGGACAGAAAAGAAAGAAAGAAAAUAUUAUCUUAAGUCUAAUCCUUCCCAUUACUGGCUUUAAAGGUAGGAACUGAUAGAUAAUUGUUCCAGAUAAAGCAUGUAUUUUCAAAGAACAAAAACUUUUGUUUCAUAUUUUUCCUCCUAAGAAGGAGGAAACCACACUUCCAAGAAAAAGUAGAUCAGCUCCUGUAGAUUGUAAUGCUGAGCUGGGCUCCAUCGUCACUGGCAAGAGGAAUGAGAUGCCAUUUGGCUGAUUACUGUCAACAUUUCAGACACACCUCAUCAGUCACAGCUGAUGUAAUUCCCUUUGUGUAUCUUUAGAAAUAAAGCUUUUCUUUCAGCUCAUCUAAGUUUGGCAGCUUUUUAUAGCUCCAUUAUUCCGAACCUAAUAAGAAUUGGAGUUCUCAGUACAGGAAAGACAUGGACCUGUUGGAAGGAGACCAGAGGAGGACCACAAAAGUGAUCAGAGGAACGGAACACCUCUUCUCUGAGGACAGGCUGGGAGCGUUGGGCUUGUUCAGCCUGGAGAAGAGAAGACUCCAGGGAGAUCUUAUUGCAGCCAUUCAGCACUUAAAAGGGGCCUAUGAGAAAGAUGGGAACAGACUUUUUAGCAGGGCCUGUAGCAAUAGUACAAGGGGUGUGAUGGUUUUAAACUAAAAAAGGGGAGAUUCUGACUCAGUAUAAGAAAUGUUCUUUUCUUUUACAAUGAGGAUGG